CGCGUAGGCGGUCUCUUAAGUCAGAUGUGAAAGCCCGGGGCUCAACCCUGGAAGUGCAUUUGAAACUAAGGGACUUGAGUAUGGGAGAGGGAAGUGGAAUUCCUGGUGUAGCGGUGAAAUGCGUAGAUAUCAGGAGGAACACCGGUGGCGAUGGCGACUUCCUGGACCAAUACUGACGCUGAGGCGCGAAGGCGUGGGGAGCAAACA
rnacentral:rRNA from 1 species